rnacentral:lncRNA from 1 species
CUUUCUCUCCUUAUAACUCCUGUCAAAAAUUAUGGCAAGCACAAUAGCACAAGAUAUGUUCUCUAGCAACCUUAAUCAACCACAAAUCAACUAAUGCAACCACAACAAAAAUAAAUAGAGACACCGGUAUUUUUACGUGGAAAACCCCUCUAAAUUAAGGGUAAAAACCACGGGACUUUAGAGUCCGAUAAAGAGCUCCACUAUCAUCAAAUGUUCGGCUACAAGAUCACAAUAUCAAGCCUACAACAAGCAUUCAACUCCGACAAGGCUAACAAUAUGUAAUCUUUAGCAAAAGAGAGA